rnacentral:rRNA from 1 species
GUAUCCCUACGGGGCGCAGCAGUGGGGAAUAUUGCGCAAUGGGCGAAAGCCUGACGCAGCGACGCCGCGUGAGGGAUGAAGGCUUUCGGGUUGUAAACUUCUUUUGUCAGGGACGAAGCAAGUGACGGUACCUGACGAAUAAGCCACGGCUAACUACGUGCCAGCAGCCGCGGUAAUACGUAGGUGGCAAGCGUUAUCCGGAUUUAUUGGGUGUAAAGGGCGUGUAGGCGGGAAUGCAAGUCAGAUGUGAAAACUAUGGGCUCAACCCAUAGCCUGCAUUUGAAACUGUAUUUCUUGAGUGCUGG